CUAAUACAUGUUCGAGACCUUCGGGUGGCGUUUAUUAGACCUAAAACCAAACCUUUUCGGUCACCGGUGAUUCAUAAUAAACUUGCGAAUCGCAUUUUUUUGCGAUGUAUCAUUCAAGUUUCUGACCUAUCAGCUUUGGACGGUAGGGUAUUGGCCUACCGGGGCAGCGACGGGUACCGGGGAAUUAGGGUUCGAUUCCGGAGAGGGAGCCUGGGAAACGGCUACCACAUCUUAGGAAGGCAGCAGGCGCGCAAAUUACCCAAUCCUGACACAGGGAGGUUGUUACAAGAAAUAACAAUACGGGGCUUAAUGUCUUGUAAUUGGAAUGAUGGGAAUUUAAACCUCUUCCAGAGUAUCAAUUGGAGGGCAAGUCUGGUGCCAGCAGCCGCGGUAAUUCCAGCUCCAAUAGCGUAUAUUAAAAUUGUUGCAGUUAAAAAGCUCGUAGUUGAAUUUCUGCUGCAUUUCAUUUCUCUUUCUGAGUUUGUUUUUGCGGCUUAUUUCGGUUUGAUUUUUUCUUUCCGGAUGAUUACUUUGAGAAAAUUAGAGUGCUCAAAGCAGGCUUUUGCCUUGAAUAGUUUAGCAUGGAAUAAUAAAGUAGGACUUUGGUUCUAUUUUGUUGGUUUUAGGUACCAAAGUAAUGGUUCAUCGGAACAGUUGGGGGCAUUCGUAUUUAACUGUCAGAGGUGCAAUUCUUACAUUUGUUACAGACGAACUACUGCGAAAGCAUUUGCCAAGGAUGUUUUCAUUAAUCAAGAACGAAAGUUAGGGGAUCGAAGACGAUCAGAUACCGUCGUAGUCCUAACCAUAAACUAUGC
rnacentral:rRNA from 1 species